ensembl:lncRNA
GUUUUGAAAUAACUUGCAGAUUCUGGGAAAGUGACAGUGAAGUUUUUUUUUGUUUGUUUUUGUUGCUCAAAAUGAUUGAAAAAGCAAUCUCUGAUUCCAAAACAACAAAUGUGAUGAAUAAUGACCCUGGAAUAUAUGAGUGUUGGGUCUACAUGAAUGAAACAUGCUCAUGGAAGCUCAUCAACAGCACCAACCUGAGUGAUGUUGAUCCUCUAGGUCAGACAGGAGGACACACAGAGGAUGAAGGGAAGGACCCUAAAUCUGUUGGACUGAUCAUCGGUCUAACAGUUUUUCUGCUUCUUGUUGCUGUUGGUGGGUUUUGGAUCUGCAAAUGUAGACAACAGAGAGGGGAAAGAAACCAGCCUGCUGUUCAGUUGUAGUAGGUUUUUACAAAUAAAUAACUGAAAAGUGG